AUAAACAUCGACCUGCAGGGAGUGAAUUGGGUCGAGUGAAUUGGGCAGUUCAUUUGGGCCGGAUUUUUCAAUCUUUAUUUUAAACAGUUAAUCUGUAAAUGACACAUUCCCUUCCUAGAUAAUAAUUCGUUGGAUUGUAUGUCUAAAAUCAACGAUCUAGAUUUGUUUACCGCAAGUAAAUAUUUUUUUGUUUAUUUUUGCUGGCUAUCCGUAC
rnacentral:lncRNA from 1 species